rnacentral:rRNA from 1 species
CGCUGGCGGCAUGCCUAAUACAUGCAAAUCGAACGAAGCCUUUUAGGCUUAGUGGUGAACGGGUGAGUAACACGUAUCCAACCUACCCUUAAGUUGGGGAUAACUAGUCGAAAGAUUAGCUAAUACCGAAUAAUAACAUCAAUAUCGCAUGAGAAGAUGUAGAAAGUCGCGUUUGCGACGCUUUUGGAUGGGGGUGCGACGUAUCAGAUAGUUGGUGAGGUAAUGGCUCACCAAGUCAAUGACGCGUAGCUGUACUGAGAGGUAGAACAGCCACAAUGGGACUGAGACACGGCCCAUACUCCUACGGGAGGCAGCAGUAGGGAAUUUUUCACAAUGGGCGAAAGCCUUAUGAAGCAAUGCCGCGUGAACGAUGAAGGUCUUAUAGAUUGUAAAGUUCUUUUAUAUGGGAAGAAACGCUGAGAUAGGAAAUGAUUUUAGUUUGACUGUACCAUUUGAAUAAGUAUCGGCUAACUAUGUGCCAGCAGCCGCGGUAAUACAUAGGAUGCAAGCGUUAUCCGGAUUUACUGGGCGUAAAACGAGCGCAGGCGGGUUUGUAAGUUUGGUAUUAAAUCUAGAUGCUUAACGUCUAGCUGUAUCAAAAACUGUAAACCUAGAGUGUAGUAGGGAGUUGGGGAACUCCAUGUGGAGCGGUAAAAUGCGUAGAUAUAUGGAAGAACACCGGUGGCGAAGGCGCCAACUUGGACUAU